UACGGGGGGAGCAAGCGUUGUUCGGAUUUACUGGGCGUAAAGGGCGCGUAGGCGGCGUGGUAAGUCACUUGUGAAAUCUCCGGGCUUAACUCGGAACGGUCAAGUGAUACUGCUGUGCUAGAGUGCGGAAGGGGCAACUGGAAUUCUCGGUGUAGCGGUGAAAUGCGUAGAUAUCUGGAGGAACACCGGUGGCGAAGGCGGCAUCCUGGACCAACACUGACACUGAUGAGCGAAAGCCAGGGGAGCAAACGGG
rnacentral:rRNA from 1 species